GCUGAUCCCUUUCGCUGUAUGGCGUGCUCGUUUGGGUUGGGCGUCGGCUAAGAGUGCUCGGAGCUUGGAUGAACUCCAGUCGCCAAUCAGGUGUGUAUUUCUCGCUACUCUAGCUGUAGGAUGGCUACUUCGGGCCGCGAUGGGCGGAAAGGGGUCAUGUGGGCCCAAUGGGCCUACGGGCCCAAUUGGAUAAGUUGUUUGAUUGUGUAGUAAAUAUUAGACUAGGCUAGGUGAAUCUCAUAUCUGUGGCUAGAUCUGGGCUAAAAGGGCCACACGAGCGUGUGGGCCCAUUUGGGCCGAGAAUAGGCUUUAGGCCCAUUCGUAUUGUUAUCCUUGUUUAGAAUACUUUAGUUUACCAAAUUACUGAAAUACCCUCAAAUUGUAAAAUUACCAAAGUACCAUUGAUUUAUAGAAUUACUGUUUUACCCUCGAUUUACAGAAUUACCGUUUUACCCUCGAUUUAUAGAAUUACUGUUUUACCCUUGAUUUACAGAAUUACUGUUUUACCCUCGAUUUACAAAAUUACUAAAAUACCAUCGGUUUACAAAAUUACCAAAAUACCCUCGAUCAGUAAAAUUACCAAAAUACCCUAGUCUGUAAAAUUGCUAAAAUACCCUUAGUUUGUAAAAUUACCAAAAUACCCUCAAUUUGUAAAAUUACCAAAAUACCCCUAGUUUGUAAAAUUACCAAAAUACCACUGGUUUGUGAAAUUACCGAAAUACCCUCAAUUUGUAAAAUUACCAAAAUACCCCUGAUUUACAAAGUUACAGAAAUACCCUUGACUUUCUAAAAAUUAUGGAAAUACCAUUGGUUUAACAAAACUACUGAAAUACCCUUGGUUUGUAGAUUUACCAAAACACCCUUGUAGGAUGAAAUGACUAAAAUACCCCUAUUAGGUAAAAAGACCGUAAAGCCCCUGUAGGGUAAAGUGACCGUAAUACCCCUGUAUGGUAAAAUGACGAAUAUGCCCUUAUGUUCCGUAUGACUGAUGUGCUUAGGAUUUACAUAUAUUGAUAUUGGAUUAGUUAAGUUUGAGUGACAGGUGGUGGUUAUCGUAGGCGAUUGAUUUUGGAAACGUUUCAACUUCAACUCGUAACAGGUGUGUACUAACCCUCGUAAUAGCUUAGAUUAAUAUUUGUUGAGAAGCCGAAAUGCUAAAAUACCGGUAUUUCGGGAACUUGUAAUGUUGCGUUUGGGUAGAUGCGAUAAAUACGAUAAGAUCAGUGUUUGGAUCGAUGGAAAAGGUAAGAACUCAAUUUUGUGCACGAUGGUAAGUUGAGCCUCAAUGGGCUAAAAUUGGGCCCAAUGGGCUUUCAGACCCAUUUGGGUAGAAUUGAUAGAAAAUGGAAUUUGGAAAAGUUGCACUUUAACACGGUUAGUAUUGUUGUAAAAUUUGGGUUAAGUAGGCUAAAUCAGCAUUCUUAGGGCCCAUUAGGGGUUUUGGGCCCAAAAGCCUGAAUUUGAUAAAGUGGGUUAAAGAUCAUUGUUUAAACACUCUGAAAAAUUGAUAAUUGUAAUGAACAUGGAAAACCCUUAUAUUUGGUAAAAUUACGACAAUACCCUUAUAAUGUGAAAAAUGACUGUUGUGCCCUUGUGGGCAAGUGACUGACUUGGACUGUGUGGUUGACGGAUUUGAUUGUGAAUAUAUGUUGGUGAUAUGAAUGACUUGACUGUGAUUGUUUAAUUCAAAUAUGGGCGUGACAUUUUGCAUACAUGACAUGUUUCAUUGGGUUGGGUUUUUAUAUGGAUGGAGGAAGUGCAAAAGGGCUUAUGCCCUAGUUUACCGAAAAGGGCUUAUGCCCCAGUUUAUUGAAAAGGGCUUAUGCCCCAGUUUACCGAAAAGGGCUUAUGCCCCAGUUUAUUGAAAAGGGCUUAUGCCCCAGUUUACCGAAAAGGGCUUUGCCCCAGUUAUUAAAGAGGCUAGGCCUCUAGAUAUAUGAUAAAGCAGCUAUGCUGCCAGUGGUGUGUUGGUUGGGUGGGUUGAGUUAUUCCCCACAUGGUGUGUUGGUUGGUACGGGUGGAGAGUAGCGGAUGGUGGGUUGAGUAGUCUCCCCAAAUGGGCUUGCAUACAUUAAUUGGUAUUUCAUGUGAUAUUGAAAUGGGCUUGCAUAUAUCCAUUGACAUUACAUGUGAUAUUGAAACGGGCCUAUGGGCCAUACCGUUUACAGUAAAGUCUUCGGCCCAGUGAAAUGAUUUAUGAAAAGGCUUUGGCCCAGUGAUAUGAUUUAUGAAAAGGCUUCGACCCAGUAAUCGUUAAACGAAAGGCUUCGGCCCAGUAUAUGCCAAGACUAAAUAGGGCUUUGACCCAGAUUGUACUGAUACUGUGUUUUCACUGUUUGUUUGUUAUUGGGAUUACACACUGAGUUUUCGUAAACUCACCCCGUUUCUAACUGUGCAGGUAAUCCCUAAGCUUAGAUGGUUUGGAGCUGCUAGGGACUCGGAGAUGGCCACACUACUGUUUCUAUUUCUUUUAAUUGCAAUAAGUAGCCGAUUUAUUUCUUUAUAAGUUUUAUCUUAUUAAUAUUAUUGUUUGGUUUUGGGUUGUAAUAAGGCCAUUUUAAUUAUUUUUCUGGGAUUAUUUUAUUUUUAAUAACUUUAAUCUGUUUGUUAAUAAAUGGGCUAGACUUAGGACGUGUUUUCAAAAUGAUAAUUGUUUUCAAAAUAACACCAUGGCACGAU
rnacentral:lncRNA from 1 species